GCGAAAGCAUAAACCCGAAAUAAUCCGAUCUCCUUACCUCGGUUUGACAGAUUUUCUACACUCCAUGACUUGUCCUUUUGCUAUCCUUUAUCCGUAUAACAAAUCUGCGCUCCCACCUGCCCCCACCCUCUUCUUCUUUUUUUUCUUCUUGAUGUCAAUGUCGCUUCAGAUAGUUGUUUGUACGCACAUCUCAGUGUUCUUUCAUCUCAACGGAAUUGAGGUAUCUUUUUGAACUUUUGGAUUGGUUAGGUUUGAGGUGUAUGCAUUCUGAUGGGGGGUGAGAGUGGGGCUGAGUCGUGGUUUGGUAGUAUGAAGUGGAUUCCAUGGAAGGGUGUGUCAGACGCUGACAAGGGGGUGGUUGAAAUUUUGGCGUUUGAAGUUGCUAGCUUGAUGUUGAAGGUGGUUAAUUUAUGGCAAUGCUUGAGUGAUAAGGAGUUUCCUAGGUUGAGGAAAGAGAUUGUGAAUUCGAUCGGGCUUAAGAAGCUUGUAUCCGAGGAUGAUGAUUAUCUGAUGGAACUUGCCUUGAAUGAAAUAGUUGAGAAUUUCGUAUUUCUGGCGAGGUCUGUGGCCAGGCUUGGGAAGCGGUGCAAAGACCCUUUGUAUCACCGUUUUGAACAAUUUGUUAAUGACCCUAUUCAGAAUGGCUUUCAAUGGGCUGGGUGGGAAUAUAGAUGGAAGAAGAUGGAGCGGAAGAUGAAGAAAAUGGAGAGAUUUGUUGCCUCUAUGACACAAUUUUCACAAGAGCUGGAAGUGCUGGCUGAGCUUGAACAAACUCUUAGGAGAAUGCAAAAUACUGAGUUAAACCGGGUAAAAGUGCUUGAGUUUCAGAAGAAGGUAAUCUGGCAGCGUCAGGAAGUGAGAAAUCUGAGAGAGAUGUCCCCAUGGAAUAGAACUUAUGAUUAUGUUGUCCGGCUUCUGGUGCGAUCACUUUUUACAAUACUAGAGAGGAUGAAGCAUGUCUUUGGAACUUAUCAAUUGCCUUCUGUAGAGCGAAUGAUUGAUUCUCAGCUUAUGAAUAUUGAAUGUUUUCCUCGUAGCCAUUCCUUUUCUGCUCUUCUGCAUUCUUCUGUUUAUCCAUCUGAGAAUAAUCUACCUGGGUUCUAUUCAGGACCUAUCGAGAAGUCGGUUUCAAUGCGAGGAAAUGGUGACAUGAGUCGGCGAAAGGAGAAGCAGCGACAUGAACGUCAUAUGUCAUCGACCAUACAUGGAAACCACCUAAAAGUGGAAGCAAAUCAAUCAGCUCAUGUCGGAUCUUUCAAAGGGUGGUGCAUGAAUGCUGCAAGCGAAUCUCCUGUUAUGCUGAGCUGUAAGCCAACAGGCAGUAGUUCUAUGAGGUUGACUGGUGUUCGUAUGAAAAGUAUUGACAAAACCAAUAACACAAAUAUUGAAUCUUUAUCUUGCAGUGACAGGAUCUAUUCUAAAUUGUUGUUCUUCAAUAAGUUUAGGUUGUUGACUGCACCCCCAUUCACUCUUGGUGAUGCUGCUUUAGCUCUCCAUUACGCAAAUGUGAUUUUAUUGAUUGAGGAUCUGGCUUCAUCACCUCACUUAAUUGGCCUUGACAAGAGAGAUGUCCUGUACAAUAUGUUACCCACAACUAUAAGAACUGCUCUGAGGGCGCGGCUAAAGUCAUAUGCCAGAAACAUGGCUUCAUCUGUCUACAAUGCUGCCCUAGUAGCAGAGUGGCAUCAGGCGCUUGGGCAGAUAUUGGAAUGGCUGUGUCCACUUGCUCUAAACAUGGUAAGGUGGCAUUCUGACCGGAAUUUUGAGAAGCAGGAUGCAGUUUCUGGAACAAAUGUGCUGCUGGUCCAGACCCUUUACUUUGCAAAUCAACCAAAAACUGAAGCGGCAAUUACCGAGCUUCUCGUAGGUCUGAACUAUAUCUGCAGAACCGGUGGACAUCGUCUUGAGAAAGAUUUUCAGGAGCCUGAUGGCAGCAGAGUUUGUAAUGAUUAUAUGUUCAAUAGGGAUGGCAUUGCUGAAUGCUGAUGAUGUUUUAUAAAUUACGAGAGAUUUCUCCUAGGUGUCGUAAAAUGUACAUUAUCAAUAUAGAGAAAUGUUCCUAUCAAAUGGGAUUGGGUUCAGAACAUGGAAGGCAUUCCUUCAAUUAUUAAGCCCUCAUUUUGGAUUUGAUGUGGCUGCACAGCCUUACGUUGCCUGACGUGCUGUUUUCCAAAACCUUGUGAUUUGUGAAGCCAUAGAUCAACUCAACCUGCGGCCCUGAUUGGUGUUCCCCAGAUCUGAUUGACGAAAGGCAAUGGUUCGUCCCUAGAAUUCAGGUCCUUUCCAAAUGAUUAUGUGUUCCUGAACUGGUGUGUUUCUGGUCUGGGGAUUCGCUUCCCCGUGGAGUUGUUGUCGUUUAAAGAUUGGGAUUCCCCGGAAUUUUUUGCCUAAAUUUCAGGGAAUGAGAGGGUCCAAGGUGCUGAGCAGGUGGGCCUCACACCUCGGGCUGCCUGAGACCUGUCCAGGCAGCUCAUUCCCGGGAUUCUCUCUUUCAUUUUUUGCCCAAAUUUCAGGGAGGGAAUUCCAGGAAUUGGGAUCCGGCUUAUAUUGCGAUUUGUGGAAGCAGCGAUAGAAAAGCAGGAUAUAACCGUGUGGCUGGCAGCUUCUCCUCUCAUAAUUACUGUCUGAUCAAGCUCUUCUCUAACCUUUCUCACUGACUCUGUACUGAGGUCCAGCUAUGCCGUGGACCAUAUACAUUGCUGCUUGUAGCUUGUCUUUGAAUGAAGAAUUGACAUAUUCACUCUGAUUCCGAAUGCAUCACAAAUCAAAAUACUCCUACUUUGCUGGACGGCAAUAUUUGCUCAUCAUGAUAACGACAAACUGAGCGAGUGGCAUAAAAUUGUUGUCACGAUUUCCAUGUUAUCAAUUAUGGGUUCUUCUGGGGGCAAAAAGGAAGAGGAAAAGAAUGGCUCUUCUAAUUCAAAAAAUUGGAAUACUUGAAUUCCCAGAUAGCCUGUGACUUCACCUAGCAAUGGCCCAUGACUUCACCUAGCUGGGCAGAGCGAAUCUGGAUUAGUAGGCUGGGCCGAGUGGGCUAUUUGUGUCGGAUCGGGUCAUCGGAUCCGAUAAACCCGUGUGAAGUGCGUGUGUGUGUGUGUGAAGCAUAAGCAAUGGCACGUGUGGCGCAUGAAAGCAUGUGGACAAAAAUACACGGUGGCGUGUGGGGAGAGAUGGAGCAUGUGAGGAAGCCUUCUAGCACGGGACGAGAUCACAAAGACACAUGGCAGUGCGUGAGGACGUGUGGGGAGGCCAUUCUAGUUAAAAUUUUCAUAGGUUAAUCGAUCAGCUAAUUGUGAACCCUUUUUUUGGUAUUGGUUUUUCAAAGAUACAUUCGGUGAAGGCUUGGGAAGGACUGACAACGGUAGGAGAAGGCGCGUGCGUUUGUAAAGGAACUCCGUUCGCCUAGUACAAGCAAGGUAGGUAUCAAGGAGAUUGUUAGAGUACUGUAUGAGCUAAGGAAACACCGACCAACGCAAUGAUUUGAUUCUCUUGCAAGGAAGCGUGAGGAGUAGCUAAAGGCCGUAAGAAGUGGAUUUGAUAUCAUGUUAAAUCAUCAUUUAUUUGAAAAGCUUAAAACGAUUGAAAAUAGUAAAUUUAAUCAUUUAGUUACUAUUUUAACA